GGACGUGAGGGGGAUAGGGAUGCUAGCGGCCGAUCCGGCCUUGCAGCAGCAGCUGCCGCCGGAGAUUGAGGCGCAACUGUUCGGGAAUGGCCCGGAAGGCGGCGGUGGAAGGAGGAGGAAGCGGGGGACGGCAGAUCCGGUGGAUAAAGUUGCGAUGCAGCGACAGAAGAGGAUGAUUAAGAAUCGGGAGUCGGCGGCGAGGUCAAGGGAGAGGAAACAGGCUUAUACGAUG
rnacentral:misc_RNA from 1 species